AUUUUUUUUAAAUUAGUACUGUGUUGGUCAUUUAGUAGUUCAACAUGCUAAUUAAACUUAAAGUGUUUCUAGUUUUGGUGGUUUGCUUGUUUAGGGCUAAUGGGGCUGCCACACCAACAAAUACCCCCAAUAGCCCCGAAAGCUCGUCAUAUUAUGCCGAUAACACCCCUGAGACCCCUUCUUCAGCUGAAAAGAUCAACAAUAACACCGGCCCUCACACUUAUCCUCCUGAAACGUGGUCAACUUUCCCCGCAUAAUGUAAACAUUAUUCAAUAAAAGCUUUUAAACCAAUAA